GACAAGGGUCAGACAUGGGCUUCUCCUAUACAGGGUCAGGGUCAACUUGAUCCUUACUCCUCUGAUCUUGAGCAGAAGCGUCUUAUGCUCCAGAGGUUUCAAGAGGAGAACCCUGGAUUUGACUUCUCACAAGCUCAGUUUUCGGGCAACUGUCCUGAUCCAAGGACCUUCAUGGGGGGAAUUCACUUAGGUUGACGAAUAUGGUGUGGCAUUUAUAACUUGCAUGGUUGUGACAUUCAGUAAAUAAUGUAGAUUUUCUACUGGUCUUGAUUUAUUCAAAUCCCUGUAAUGACCGCGAUUUGUGAGAAGAAUAUGUACCGAGUCUAUGUGCAAUCGCUGUAAUGAAG
rnacentral:misc_RNA from 1 species